rnacentral:rRNA from 1 species
AAUAUUGCACAAUGGGCGCAAGCCUGAUGCAGCCAUGCCGCGUGUAUGAAGAAGGCCUUCGGGUUGUAAAGUACUUUCAGCAGUGAGGAAGGUGGGUAUGUUAAUAGCAUAUUCAUUUGACGUUAGCUGCAGAAGAAGCACCGGCUAACUCCGUGCCAGCAGCCGCGGUAAUACGGAGGGUGCGAGCGUUAAUCGGAAUUACUGGGCGUAAAGCGCAUGCAGGUGGUUUGUUAAGUCAGAUGUGAAAGCCCGGGGCUCAACCUCGGAAUUGCAUUUGAAACUGGCAAACUAGAGUACUGUAGAGGGGGGUAGAAUUUCAGGUGUAGCGGUGAAAUGCGUAGAGAUCUGAAGGAAUACCGGUGGCGAAGGCGGCCCCCUGGACAGAUACUGACACUCAGAUGCGAAAGCGUGGGGAGCAAACAGGAUUAGAUACCCUGGUAG